UAUAUAAUAAAAACUAAAAAAAAUAUACAAAAAUAACUUUCACAUUCACUUUACCAUCAGUCCACAAACUUUAGCAUUAGCACUUAUACUGCCAUUGCGCUCUUCGACUGGGGCUCGAAAGAACCAUUGAUGCUCCGAUUGUAACUCCGACGGCCCACUGUUGCUUCGAUUAUCACUUUGAAGGGCCACUGCUGCUCCGAUUGUCACUCCGAUGGGCCACUGCUGCUCCGAUUGCCACUUGGACUGCUUCUCCGACCUCGUCUCUAACUGUCGCUCAGAUACUACUUCGAUUUACAAUAGAUCUUGUUGCUGAAUCCUCAUAGUAGUGACAACUAGUGCCAUUCUGGUGAAGCUGAAACUAUUCAUCCUGCUAGUUAGUGAAGCAAUCAUAGAGAUCUUGUGGAAGUAUUAAGCAAGAUAAGGUGCAUCAUUUUGUUUAUAUCUCGUGAUGAGUUGUAAACGCACAAUUCUGUUUAAUUAAAUAGAACUUUUCUAAAUAAUUAAACAGAACUUACUUUCAAGAACUAUGGUACAACUGUCCUAUAUACUACUAUGAUUUACCUUCCAAAUGUAUUUCAUUUUCAUCCUGGGAAUCUUAUGCUUUAUUUCCAUUCCUUGCGCUAGUUAGUGAAGCAACCAUAGAGAUAUUGUGAGACUGUUGAGCAAGACUAAGGUGCAUUCACUGUGCUGGGUGAAUCCAUAGCGAUAUCUUGCGCCAGAGCGCUUUGGUUCUUUCACUUAGCACCCUCAACCUGCAUUGGUGAAUCUAGUUCCUUCACCAUAUUCAGCUACCUAUUCCCCAACGCCACUCUAAAUAGGCCACAGAGCAAAUGCUGGCCCAAAUAAAAGACAUGGUGGCAUGACAAAUAUCAUAUCUACUCCUUGUCUUAGAGACCCUGAUGAUAGUAUAAAGGCAAAAAGAGGCGUUAUCUACAUCAGACGAUUGUACAAAUGUGGCAAAGAUCCCUAACUUAGGGUUUCAACUGGAUCCUUAUGCUAUUUUAUCAUCAUUAAAAAGCCAUUCUAAUUUUGAAGGUCAAUUCAGCUGCAGAAAAGCAUUUGAAUCAGGUUCAGUUAAAGGUGUGGCAAACAGUAUUGAGAGUGGCCGUGUUGGAACAUCAAAGGCACGCCUUGGAUCUUUUAACAAUGAAGGUACUCUUAAACUUGGGCCCAUUAAAUUAACAGCUGGAGCAAAGCAUGUGCUUAAGCCCUGCCAGAAUAAUCCUCAGAAGAAUUUCCAACCAACCCAUUCAACUAUCCAAUUCGGCGCGUCUUCUGCUGGCAACUCAGGAAACUGAGAAAUCAACCAAUAUGUACAAGUUCUAGCGAUUUGCUUCAAUAUUGGAACUCAAAAGAAACUAAGGAAAAAAAGAAGGAAAAUUCUGGUGCUGUGUCAAACAAGGAAUUCUUUGUGGAUACUAGAAGAAGGAAAUCUGGACGAGUGUCCAAGGAUUCAUAUGAAGAUAUUACAAAUCAAAUAGUUGAAAUGGAGAGAGUAGAAACUCAACAAAGUGAAGAUGCUAGUCAAUCAGUUGAUGCAUUCACAACAGUUAUGGUUCCUGAUCAUCCAGGUCGAGUAAGACUAUACGGACGCGGGGUGACCAAGUCUCUUUUUAAACAAAAAAUAAGUGAUUCCGGAUCCUCUUCAAAUAUUGCUACGGAUGAAUUGGUAGAAAAGAGAAUGGAUGAACUGGAAGAGAGGAUACAACAAAGAAUACAUGCUCAAAGAGAUUCCAUUGAACGAGAUGUUACAAUGAACAUCAUUGAACAAUUGCAACAUCAAAAUCCAGGAUUAACACUUGAUCCUAAUAUGCUAAGAUUCAAUGCUCAUUCGUCAAGGGAAGAGGCUGCUAUCCAACAAAUCAAUCGUCUAUUUAUUGGGAGUAACAAUGAAGCUGUGUCUUUUUUUUCUUCUUCUUCUCGCCAUUGCUGUGAUGCCAUAUAGUUUACUACUAUGUUACUCAAACUCUUCAAACAUGCCACUGGAUGUGUGUUGGGUCCUUCAAAGAAAUACAUUUUUGGAGGACGCAACAUCGGUGCUGCUAUAAUUUUUAAGAGUCCGAGUAACACAGCUUGAAUAUGUUGUAUAAGUUUCCAAUUUUCCUUCUGAAGUUCCCUCUCUCUCUCUCUGGGCCAACGGCCAUGAUUUUACCAUCAGUUUUAUGUUGUGUAUGGUUCAUGUAGUAAGGGGUGAAGGGUGAGCAAAAGGUGAUAUGAGAAAGGACAAUAUUAAUGUUUCUAGUUUAAGGAUAUAUCUUAAUCCAGAUCUUAACUGUUACAUUAACAUCUCUAUAUUAUUAGGUGUAUGUUUUUAAUUGAAAUGUAUACAAAAUGGAUGGGUUUCUGCA